rnacentral:lncRNA from 13 species
UGUGAUGCCUGUCAACGAGGAGGCCUCAGUCAUAACAGCCAACGGGAUAUUAAGGUUGAGUGUUUUGGUGUGUUUAAAACACAUACGUGUAAUAACAGAGAUGGAAGAACUGAAAUACGCAUUGGAAGGAACUUGAGAAACUGGCCCAAAACAGAGUGGAGAAUGUAUUACCUAAAAGUUGCUUUAGUCUCAUGGUUUUGUGGAUGCGAUUUAUGAGGAAAAUGUGUCAUUGGAUUCUAUCUUUAGGUGAGUUGAGGAAACUGUGUCACUGGGUACUUAGCAACAUCUUUUACUUGUCUUCUGUCAUGGAAAACCAUUGUGUAAGUGCAGAGUGUUAGAGUUUAAAGUUUGCCCUAAUUGAUCAAAUACUUCACAUUCUCACAGCUACCCAACACCUCUUUAGAGUAGCUGAGUAUGAUAAUAAGAAAAUGAAUGACCUAUGGAGUAUAGCGAUCUGGGAAAGGAGAUAAUCCUAGAUUUUUUUGUUCACAUUUCUGAGCCACCAUCCAACAGUUCAAUCUGUGUUAAUGAAGUGCCCAAAAUGUCCACCAGGAGGCUUACAUGAGCCACAUUUAUUUCCACCUACAGAUCAUUCAAGGGCAUCAUAGCACUCUACCCCACAGAUAUAAUUGUGUCACCAUUACUUCCAGGUGUGUGUUAUGUUAUGCCAUGUUUUGUCAGGGUUUGGGUAAUGCUUUAACCCUCUGUCCUCUACUGUACCUUUCCCCCCAUACAGGUGUGGGUGAACUCAGUCACAGAGAUCUGCGUAGAGUCUCCUCCUGAGGACCUAGAGUUCAUCGUAACCCCGCCUAGCAACAUACACCGGGCACUGAAGAGCUCCCCCUCCAGGCACAUCCUGAACUUCACCCAGACACACAUCCUUUGGGGACAGCUGGUGUUUGUGCACAGUGGUCCCCUGUCAGGAGGAUUCCACUUCCAGGUCAAUGAUGGGGUGAACUUUACCCGCGUCAGAUCUUCAGUGGUUCUCAGCCUGGAGAGUAACCACGCCCUCACGGUGUUCCCAGGCUCAGUGAAGAUCAACUCUCAGAAUGAACUUCUGGUGGUUACCAAUAACAACGUGAAUGAGGGACUGAUUAGUUAUGAGCAGACCCAUCCUGAAUCGGUGGGAUGGACUACUACAGACUCCUCCACAUUCACAGUGUGGUCACCACCUGAAACCUCUUCAACCCCACAUCUUCAGCAUCCAUGUUUCCUAUGAACCCUCUCCCGCAGAGCGCAAUACCAUCCUCGCUGCUAACACUGGCGAGUUCUGUAUUCUGUGCGGUCAGACAGAGGGUUUGUUAUAAUGGAGAAUUCCUGUAGUGGAAAAGUCCAUAUUUUAGCUCUUAAUAGCAGAAUUCCUCCUUUGCAGAAUUCUAUUGCAUGUGCAUCCAUUGUCCAAAUCAAUCUAAAGCUAUUGUUUGUUUAUUUGUUUAUGUAGCCAUUUAUUUCCCACAUUUAAAAUAUAAAAUCUGAUUAGCAAUGACAAAUCGGAUGUUGAUGGAUGUUAAAAUAAAGCUGUGUGUGCUAUUCUGUCUCGCCAGGUGCAGUGGUGACUGAGGGUGGUUGCGUUGUGAUAGACCAGAUGAAGCAGCAUUCCCCAAGAGAGGAUGGCUUUCACUUCAGCAGUGAAGUCAUAAACUUCUUUGAGGAAAAGCUCAGGAUCAUUGGAAAGCAAAUUUUGGACUCCUCUUUAAAAUCUGCGUAUUCCUCCAAAGCUCAGCUGAGUCUGCACAACUCUGCCAGGACCUAGGAUCAAGGCAGACUCUCAAGUUUUUUAAUACUAUAUCGCUCGACAAAUUGAUGAAAAUAGUAAUGCCUCUAAACCUUCAACCUGCAUACUGGACCCUAAUUUAAACUAAGCUACUGAAAGAGCUGCUUCCUGUGCUUGGCCCUCUUAUGUUGAACAUAAUAAACGGCUCUCUAUCCACCGGAUGUGUACCAAACUCACUAAAAGUGGCAGUAAUAAAGCCUCUCUUGAAAAAGCCCAACCUUGACGCAGAAAAUAUAAAAAACUAUCGGCCAAUAUCGAAUCUCCCAUUCCUCUCAAAAGUUAGAAAAAGCGGUUGCGUAGCAACUCACUGCCUUCCUGAAGACUAACAAUGUAUAUGAAACGCUUCAGUCUGGCUUUAGACCCCAUCAUAGCACUGAGACUGCACUUGUGA